rnacentral:lncRNA from 1 species
GAAGAAUACUACACAACAGAUUGCCUCCCUGGUUUGUGAACUAUACGCUUGUCAGUGACUCUAAUCAUGCACUUUGAUGACCUAGUGAUGAGAUGACGCCAUAACCAAAACUGAUUCCAAAAACCCACAUUCUAGUUGUAUCCUACUUGGCUAAUAGCUUCGCUUCAUAGCAAAACAUGAGUCAGACAUGAAUUCUCUAUUUCAUCUUCUGAGUUGCAAAUCACGACGCUUCUGAAUCUGCGUCUUCAAGGUUGCUCCCACUAGUCUCAGACUAGUCUUUCAGGCUCGGAUUGUUAAUCAGCGUCGCUAGCUAGAUCGUGAGGCGGAGCUUGUCGAAACAAUCCUUGGACCCUAGGCUUGUUUCGCUGUCGAAGUCUUAUCAUUUUCCUUAAGUUUUAUGGCAUAUGUUGUCCUAGUGCAUAUGGCGUUUUGCAUCAUCUUGAUUGUUCGACUGUUCGUAUCACCAGAAACCUAGAACAUUGGACCUCUCGUUGUGAGUUACAAUGGCUAUCUAGUGUUUCUAGCAUGCCUUGCCGUUCAUACUACGAAAUUAUCAUAAGAUGUAGCUACUACAUUACUAGCUAAACAUACUUGUCAUGUAUAACAAUCUAUGAUCCUAAUCAACCUCUAGAUCUGAAUGUUGUUUUGCAUACCGUUUGAUUAGUUCGCGUUCGGUUGCAGCUCUCUGCAAAUCUGGAAGACUGGCCGGGGCGUCAACUAUUGUGGGUGAGAAGGAAACCGUCACUUUGUGUACUGAUAGUUCACAGAUUUUGCGCAGGUCAACUUGGCCACCCACUAUCACCCGCAGUGGCGAAACUGUUUCCUCUUGGGCGGAUUCAUCUCCGUGCGAAUCAUGAUGCACAAGUUGUGGAAGUGAUUCGGAGCUAGCCUAGUGAUCAUCGAUUCCAUUUUUAGGGUUGGUGGCAAGGUACUACAUUCUGCAAAGGGAUUAUCAUUAAUACCGCUGGGCGAUCGAUCUUUCCAAGCAUUUCUUUAAUCUUUUGAUCUCUUCUUUGAUUCUCUUUCUUCUUUCACAGUCAGUAUAGAUGUACAAAGAUGUCAAACCAAUCAACUCGUGAUCCGAUUGUGACCAACCAGGCUCCACAAAAGUCAUCGAUCCUCUACCCUGCAGGCAAAUUUGUUCACCCAGGAGUGAAGACGCUGCAGCCGUGUGGCAGUCCUUGCCAUCUUUUGUUCGGGACCCAUUUGGAAUGAGCAUCUUCGUGAGUAGUCAAGAUUGCUCACUGCUUCAAAGCGUGCAAGCGAAACUCCAAACCCACAGAUCGAAAUUCUAGAUUACGCAAAUCAGAGAAAAAACAGAAUCUCAUGCCAGAAAAAACUAGAACAAAACCUGUGUUUAAGUUGCUUAACUCCAUCUAUGUAACUUCUCAGAUUUACUGCGACUUAACUUUUGUUUCGAGCUUUAGAAAUGCUUGUCCUUGCGGAGAGCAUUCGUCGGAUUCAUUGGCUCAUGUCGCAGGAAGUCUUUACACGCACACAAGGCCACCACGGAGUAGAAACUUUGACCGCCCACUGACGACCUUUCCUUAUCCAUAUAUUUAUCAGACACUACAACCAUUCACCGCUUGCCACGUGCAAGUGGCGAUCUUUUGCUCACCUGCAGACGACAAAGUUGAGCUCAGCAAUGCCGUCAA